AGCUAAAAUUGACGCGUAGAAGAGUCUGCACCAAGUAUAAGCGCCAGCCGCAUGUCCGCCCGCGAGUGUUGGGACAACGGUAAACCCAAGUGGAAGAAAACAGACUCCGAGAAGAAUCGGGGCAUCCACGCAACAGGAGGGGGCACUGGUAUCGCACCCGCUGAACAAUGGGCCCGUCCCUCCAUCUUGUGGGUGCAUUGGUGUCCCACAUGGCAAUGCGGCUGCCAAGCCCAUACAACAGUGGCAGCGCCCGCGCUGGUUGGCCGGUGCUCUCAAUGCUGCCAGCCGCCAUUCCCGAAGCCACAGUGAACGAGCAUGACGACUGGCAUGAUGCCUGAUUCACCUGCCUCACCGCUGCUGGACUGGGGUGGCAUCAUGGAGGUUGCGGUUGCUGCGCCACCAACCAAGCCCCCACCUCCUCUACCUCCUCAGCCGCCACGUGUGGUUGUCCGAGUGAAGACAACUAAAGGCUGCACCGACUGGAGGAGCUGCACCUGCUGC
rnacentral:lncRNA from 1 species